UUGGAGUUCUAGCUCACCUUUCUGGUGUUGUUCUUGUACUCAUCUGUUUAAUCUAGUUCUGCCACUUCUUCUUGAACUUCUUGUUAGAUUUUAAGUCUGUAUUUUGUGUCCGUGACAGUUUGUCGAGACUGCAUUUUCACUGGUAUCAGAGCUAGUUCCUUCUUGUUAGAGAGUGGAUUACUCCUCUUCUUGAAGGUGUGCUAGUGUUUUAGAGGUU
rnacentral:lncRNA from 1 species